rnacentral:rRNA from 1 species
CCUACGGGAGGCAGCAGUGAGGAAUAUUGGUCAAUGGUCGGGAGACUGAACCAGCCAAGCCGCGUGAGGGAUGAAGGUACAGAGUAUCGUAAACCUCUUUUGUCAGGGAACAAAGGCGGGGACGUGUCCCCGGCUGAGUGUACCUGAAGAAAAAGCAUCGGCUAACUCCGUGCCAGCAGCCGCGGUAAUACGGAGGAUGCGAGCGUUAUCCGGAUUUAUUGGGUUUAAAGGGUGCGCAGGCGGUCUGUUAAGUCAGCGGUCAAAGCCCGGGGCUCAACCCCGGCCCGCCGUUGAAACUGGCAGUCUCGAGUUGGAGAGAAGUAGGCGGAAUGCGCGGUGUAGCGGUGAAAUGCAUAGAUAUCGCGCAGAACUCCGAUUGCGAAGGCAGCAUGCCGGCUCCACACUGACGCUGAGGCACGAAAGCGUGGGUAUCGAACAGGAUUAGAUACCCGUGUAGUC